GCCUGAGUGGCUCAGUCGGUUAAGCAUCUGACUUCAGCUCAGAUCAUGAUCUCCCAGUCUUCUCGAGUCUCCUCAGGCU
rnacentral:tRNA from 1 species